rnacentral:lncRNA from 1 species
UCAGGGUGCUGCUGUCCGGGUGGUAUCGCGCGGUACAGGAAUUUCAACGGGAGGAAGCCUCUGUUCAGAACUGGAUCUGUUACAGGACAUUGUGACGUUACUGCAGAAACACUGAUACUUGACUGAGAAUAGCAAGGAUGGGAAGUCAACUCUUAGCAGCGAGUACUGAUGCCCUGUCAGAUCCAGCGCUAAUCUCAUCUUGCUCUGCAGUGCGCUUCCCACUGUGGCCGUACUGCUGGCCGGCCU